GUGCUUGCUUCAGCAGCACGUAUUCUAAAAUCAGAACAAUACAGAGAAGAUUAGCAUGGCCCCUGUGCUAGGGAUGACAUACAAAUUUGUGAAGCCUUACACAUUUUU
rnacentral:snRNA from 1 species